rnacentral:rRNA from 1 species
GGAGGCAGCAGUGAGGAAUAUUGCGCAAUGGCCGAAAGGCUGACGCAGCGACGCCGCGUGAGGGAUGAAGUCCGUUAGGAUGUAAACCUCUUUUGCAGGGGAUGAACCUGCCGCUACAGGCGGCAGAUGACCGUACCCUGCGAAUAAGGAUCGGCUAACUACGUGCCAGCAGCCGCGGUAAUACGUAGGAUCCGAGCGUUGUCCGGAAUUACUGGGUGUAAAGGGCGUGUAGGUGGGUCUUUAAGUCAAUGGUGAAAUCUUGCGGCUCAACCGCAAAACUGCCGUCGAUACUGGAGACCUUGAGUGCGGAAGAGGGAAAUGGAAUUCAUGGUGUAGCGGUGAAAUGUGUAGAUAUCAUGAAGAACACCAGUUGCGAAGGCGGUUUCCUGGUCCGCUACUGACACUGAGGCGCGAAAGCGUGGGGAGCAAACAGGAUUAGAUACCCUGGUAGUCCACGCCCUAAACGAUGGGUACUAGGUGCUGGGCCGCAAGGUUCAGUGCCAAAGCUAACGCAUUAAGUACCCCACCUGGGGAGUACGAUCGCAAGGUUGAAACUCAAAGGAAUUGACGG